GUCCCUCUGCGGUGGCAUUUUCAAGAGAGAACAUUUCAUAGAAACAGAAGGGCAGGAGGACUUGCAGGAAUCUGACUGGAAAUGACCUUGUCACCUGGUGUCUAUUGCUAGUACUGAGAUAAAGCCAACAGUACUCACUACGUCUUGGAACUGACCUUCUGCUUUCCCACUGAUUCUGAGGACUAAAAUGUGGUGAUCUCUUCAGCGUCCUGGACUUUCCGUUCCUGUAUUUCUACAGAUUCCACGGCAGCUGCUGUGCCAGGUGAUCACGUCUGGCUUAUCGAUGUUGCUGUUUGAUACAAUUCUGACCAGGGAAACCAUGGGAUGCCUCCUGCUCGGCGGAUUUGGAGAGGCCUUGCUGGUUUUCUCAGAGCGGAAGGGCUCCUAAACCCGGGAAAAGUGGACUCCCAGGCUGUAGUGGAGAACACCGCGUUCUCCAGGUGAUAGAAGAAAGCAAGGAUGGAGAGGCGUCACUGCUCGCUGCGGCAAGGAGAACUCUCUUUCUGGGGUCUCUAGGAUGCUUCAGGGAGUGGACUGUGUCUAGAGGCUCCCCAGGUCCAGCUGACUGUGCCCCGCGCCCAGGCAUGCAGAGAGAGAUGCAGGGUUUCACCUGCAUGGGGAUGGCUCCGCCUUCCUGGAUUGCUGCGCGUGCUCCUUAUUAAACACCCUUCAGCAAGCAAGCUUUCACUGCCGGGUGGUGGAGGUAUUGUAUCGUGUUUUUGGUUUUGUUUUGUGAUUUCACAACCUGGAAGUCUUCUCUGAGGAUGUCCUUUCCUUGCUGUCAGGUUGGCUUGCCUCGAACCCACACUCACUCACUUAGGGGCACACACAGACUUCCAUGAGGGGGCUUCCUCUGGGGGCCGAGUUGGGGGGCAAACGGGAGUCCUGGGCCAAGUAAGACGCCAGCAAGGACACUGUUUCUCUCCAGCACUGAAGACUUUCUGUGGUUGUGUGUUGUGUUGAACACCCUUUUGGGCCCACCAUCAGGUUAAAUCAAUUACCCAAGGGUAAUGAUUACCACUGAUGAAUAAGCACUGACGGAUGAAAUAAACGUAAGUAUGCAAACA
rnacentral:lncRNA from 1 species